GUUCCUCUGAAUGUUCUUAUCUACAAAUAGAACAAAUAAAGUCAGAAUAAUGUUCCAAAAAUAUGGAAGCAGCACAACCACCUAAUUAGAUCCAGGAUGUAUGCACACAUACUUCAUUGCCAAUGGUAGCUACUAUUCUCAGGAACAGAAUGUGACCCCUGAGGUCUAUAAGCAUACAAAAAAGGAAAGGCUUUAAUUUACUCGCAAUCAAACAAUACAGUCUAAACCUUAAGAUGGGUCACUGCCUCUUCCUUUUUUCCUAAUUCUUGUCUUCUGAUUUCUACCCAGCUCUGUCUUAGGGUGAAGUAACUAAGGUUAAGACUGACUUACCAGGCCGGGCGUGGUGGAUCAUGCCUAUAAUCCCAACACUUUGGGAGGCUGAGGCGGAUGGAUCACCUGAGGUGAGGAGUUCGAGACCAGCCUGACCAAUAUGAUAAAACCCCAUCUCUACUAAAAAUACAAAAUUAGGCUGGGCGUGGUGGCUCAUGCCUGUAAUUCCAGCACUUUGGGAGGCUGAGGCGGGUGGAUUGCCUGAGGUCAGGAGUUCAAGACCAGCCUGACCAACAUGGUAUUACCCUGUCUCUACUAAAACCACAAAAAUUAGUCGGGUGUGAUGGCGGGUGCCUGUAAUCUCAGCCACUCCGGAGUCUACGGCAGGAGAAUUGCUUGAACCUGAGAGGUAGAGGUUGCAGUGAGCCAAGAUUGCACCAUUGCACUCCAGCCGGAGCAACAAGAGCAAAAAUCCAUCUCAAAAAAAAAAAAAAAUUUAGCUGGGCGUGGUGACACAUGCCUGUAAUCCCAGCCACUCAGGAGGCUGAGGCAGAAGAAUCACUUGAACCCGGGAGACAGAGGUUGCAGUGAGCAAAGAUUGCACCAUUGCACUCCAGCCUGGGCAACAAGAGCGAAACUCCAUCUCAAAAAAAAAAAAAAGACUGAUUUACCAGAGCAUUAUUACCCAUCAAUAACCAAAGGAAAAAAAAAAAAAAAACAAUGCUACUCCAAGGCCUACAAAGAGAUUAUCUGGUCACAGUUCAGGAGGGUCUGUUGGAGACUUAUCAGACAACAGCACUGACUGGGGGGUGUUCGGAGCUGGAUGCACUCUGGCCACCUCGGUAAGAUUGGACCCCACCCUCCAGAAACAGCUGGGCAGCUGGGCAAAGGCCAGCGCUGAGAGAAUUUCAUUGCAGAACAGUUCUGGCUAAAAAACAAUAAAAAUAAUUUUCCUAAGAAAUAAAGUAGCAACAAAAGAGAACCAGAUGCAGCCCAGAGGAGCUUCAUGUUGGCCCCACGUGAAGAAUGGAAAGACAGCCUUUGGGACACCUGGGCAUUUCUCUUGCUUCUCAUGCCAUUUACCCAUCCAUUUCGUAUUCAUUUCUUAGUCAAAAAUCUUAAUCAGAUCAGGCUUACAGAGUGAAAAACUUAGUUAGGGAAGAUGUAAGCUGGGUCAAUUCCUUUGUCUUCCUUUAGCUGUAAACCAGUAAAGUGCUCGCUUCCAGUUUAGAUCAGAGGGAGAAAUGUACUUGCUCCAUUUAAUCCAGGUAUAUGAUGCUAAUGAAGAACCUCAAGUCCUGCUCAUAAUUAUUCUUGUUACCACGACAGAUUUUUGACUAUGCUGCGUACUUUCUAGGGCCCUCAUUAUAUUUUCAAAAACAUUGCUGACAAUUUUCUUUUUGACAGUUAUUUUUCAGACUCCUGCUAUUUAUUCAGGUCAUUUGUGGCCUUUUGAUUUUUAACUAUGUAAAGUUUUGAGGUGCAAUUACAUCUUUUAAAUGCAUUUAUAUGUUAUCUCUUUAUGAUGCCUAAUUAAAUUUAUCAGGGGCAACCCACACUUGAAACAUUUAAAAGGCAACUCAGAAUGUUUUUUAUUUGCUUAGUCUGAUUGUUACUGAAUUACACCUUAUUUUGUGUUUUGCACUUAAGUAUUUGAUUUUUAAGACAUUCCCCAUUGUACUACUCCAUGGUAUGAUCUAGAAAGUAACCCUACACUUAAGUAGGCAAGAAAAACAAAGGAAAGGAUCCACAAGAAUAGUACACUAAGGAUUACCCAUAGUGAGGUUACUAGAUUGAAGACUAGGAUUUAAGCACCGUAUGAACUUGUAAUAAACACAUAAUACACUGAAGCAUGACUUAAAAUUUGGGAGGGGGUGAGUUAAGUGACUUGUAUUUGAAUAUGCAACUAUUUAGUGAAAUCUUUUUUUUUUUUUUUUUUGAGAUGGAGUCUUGCUCUGUUGCCCAGGCUGGAGUGCAGUGGCGUGAUCUCAGCUCACUGCAAGCUCCGCCUCCCAGGUUCAUGCCAUU
rnacentral:lncRNA from 10 species